rnacentral:sRNA from 1 species
AGGAAAAUUGUGCCUUAAACGGAAACAAAAUGCUCGUAAUCUACCACAUCCUUCAGUAAUACUAGAAGGUGAGAAUGUAUACGAAAAUCUAGAAAAGCUUGAGAAUAAAGACUACAAUGAAAUGAAAGAAACUAAAAAUCCAAAGAUUUCUAACGCCUAUACUAUCCACACCGUACUUUCACAAGAUGAACAUACUUAUCAGAUACAUGAAAGCGUAAUGGAAAAUGAGGAAACGUAUCAGAACUAAGAUCUGUAAUUUUGAUGUAACAGUUUAACACGGUGUGACUCAUCGAA